AUUUCGAUAAAAAUCCUGCUUAGAACGAGAGAAACAACAGGUUCAGACAUUCGGCUAAUAUUCUCGGCCGAUCGGCCAAUGCUACGAUGCUAUCAUUUGCAGGCUUUUAUCCCGUCCAAGCAUGGCAACGAUAACAUUACUUAUCGAUAUCGAGAGACAAAUCUAUUUAGAUGUGCGCAUCUAUGAUGUUAGUCCUACGAGAUGGUCUUGUUAUACGUGUUGAAUAAAUCCAUAGUUGCCAAAACUGGUUUCAAAAAAAAUUUGCUACCAAUAUCCGGGCGCGAAAUCACUAUUAAGCGCCAUGAUUACUGGUCAAGAUAUUGUCAGUAGAGCAACCUCUACAUUGCGAUCUGUUGAGAUUUAAUUGCUAUUUGUCUUAAAUUU
rnacentral:ncRNA from 1 species